GAAUGUUAUGAUCUGUAUGUGACCUGCGGAAGGAUCAUUAUCGAGUUUUGACCGGGUUGUAGCUGGCCUUCCGAGGCAUGUGCACGCCCUGCUCAUCCACUCUACACCUGUGCACUUACUGUGGGCUUCAGAUUGCGAGGCACGCUCUUUACCGGGCUUGCGGAGCAUAUCUGUGCCUGCGUUUAUCACAAACUCUAUAAAGUAACAGAAUGUGUAUUGCGAUGUAACACAUCUAUAUACAACUUUCAGCAACGGAUCUCUUGGCUCUCGCAUCGAUGAAGAACGCAGCGAAAUGCGAUAAGUAAUGUGAAUUGCAGAAUUCAGUGAAUCAUCGAAUCUUUGAACGCACCUUGCGCUCCUUGGUAUUCCGAGGAGCAUGCCUGUUUGAGUGUCAUGAAAUCUUCAACCUACAAGCUUUUGUGGUUUGUAGGCUUGGACUUGGAGGCUUGUCGGCCGUUAUCGGUCGGCUCCUCUUAAAUGCAUUAGCUUGGUUCCUUGCGGAUCGGCUCUCGGUGUGAUAAUGUCUACGCCGCGACCGUGAAGCGUUUGGCGAGCUUCUAACCGUCUUAUAAGACAGCUUUAUGACCUCUGACCUCAAAUCAGGUAGGACUACCCGCUGAACUUAAGCAUAUCAAUAAGCGGAGGAAAAGAAACUAACAAGGAUUCCCCUAGUAACUGCGAGUGAAGCGGGAAAAGCUCAAAUUUAAAAUCUGGCGGUCUUUGGCCGUCCGAGUUGUAGUCUGGAGAAGUGCUUUCCGCGCUGGACCGGAAAU
rnacentral:rRNA from 1 species